rnacentral:rRNA from 1 species
GGAGUUAGCCGGUGCUUCUUCUGCGAGUAACGUCACAGAUGUAAGGUAUUAACUUACACCCUUUCCUCCUCGCUGAAAGUGCUUUACAACCCGAAGGCCUUCUUCACACACGCGGCAUGGCUGCAUCAGGGUUUCCCCCAUUGUGCAAUAUUCCCCACUGCUGCCUCCCGUAGGAGUCUGGGCCGUGUCUCAGUCCCAGUGUGGCUGAUCAUCCUCUCAGACCAGCUAGGGAUCGUCGCCUAGGUGAGCCUUUACCUCACCUACUAGCUAAUCCCACCUGGGCUUAUCCAUCAGCGCAAGGCCCGAAGGUCCCCUGCUUUCCCCCGUAGGGCGUAUGCAGUAUUAGCAGUCGUUUCCAACUGUUAUCCCCCACAAAUGGGCAAAUUCCCAGGCAUUACUCACCCGUCCGCCGCUCGUCAUCUUCAAAAGCAAGCUUUUGAAAUGUUACCGCUCGACUUGCAUGUGUUAGGCCUGCCGCCAGCGUUCAAUCUGAGCCAGGAUCAAACUCUGA